rnacentral:rRNA from 1 species
UACGUAGGGGGCAAGCGUUAUCCGGAUUUACUGGGUGUAAAGGGAGCGUAGGUGGUUUGGCAAGUCAGAAGUGAAAACCCAAGGCUUAACCAUGGGAAUGCUUUUGAAACUGUCGAACUAGAGUGCUGGAGGGGUAAGUGGAAUUCCUAGUGUAGCGGUGAAAUGCGUAGAUAUUAGGAGGAACACCGGUGGCGAAGGCGGCUUACUGGACAGUAACUGACACUGAGGCUCGAAAGCGUGGGGAGCAAACAGG